rnacentral:rRNA from 1 species
GAUGAACGCUGGCGGCGUGCCUAAUACAUGCAAGUCGAGCGAACAGACGAGGAGCUUGCUCCUCUGACGUUAGCGGCGGACGGGUGAGUAACACGUGGAUAACCUACCUAUAAGACUGGGAUAACUUCGGGAAACCGGAGCUAAUACCGGAUAAUAUAUUGAACCGCAUGGUUCAAUAGUGAAAGACGGUUUUGCUGUCACUUAUAGAUGGAUCCGCGCCGCAUUAGCUAGUUGGUAAGGUAACGGCUUACCAAGGCAACGAUGCGUAGCCGACCUGAGAGGAUGAUCAGCCACACUGGAACUGAGACACGGUCCAGACUCCUACGGGAGGCAGCAGUAGGGAAUCUUCCGCAAUGGGCGAAAGCCUGACGGAGCAACGCCGCGUGAGUGAUGAAGGUCUUCGGAUCGUAAAACUCUGUUAUUAGGGAAGAACAAAUGUGUAAGUAACUAUGCACGUCUUGACGGUACCUAAACAGAAAGCCACGGCUAACUACGUG